UUCAGCAGAGGCGAGAUUUGGUGAAUCAGUACGGAGCCACGCUGCACGUAGUGCAAUACUUAAUAACUACAGAAAAGCUUUAGCAGCAAUACGUGACGAGACGGCGCAGGCUAUACGUAUGUACGGCAUUUGCACCGACCGAAUAGACGACAUGAAAUUAAGACACAGAAGCAAGAUGGAGGAGGUUUCCAUGACUACCAACAGCAUCAAAAGUAGCAGAGUGCAACUCGUCCUCU